rnacentral:rRNA from 1 species
CCUACGGGUGGCAGCAGUGAGGAAUAUUGGUCAAUGGACGAGAGUCUGAACCAGCCAAGUAGCGUGAAGGAUGACUGCCCUAUGGGUUGUAAACUUCUUUUAUAUGGGAAUAAAAUGUUCCACGUGUGGGAUUUUGUAUGUACCCUAUGAAUAAGGAUCGGCUAACUCCGUGCCAGCAGCCGCGGUAAUACGGAGGAUCCGAGCGUUAUCCGGAUUUAUUGGGUUUAAAGGGAGCGUAGGUGGAUUGUUAAGUCAGUUGUGAAAGUUUGCGGCUCAACCGUAAAAUUGCAGUUGAAACUGGCAGUCUGGAGUACAGUAGAGGUGGGCGGAAUUCGUGGUGUAGCGGUGAAAUGCUUAGAUAUCACGAAGAACUCCGAUUGCGAAGGCAGCUCACUGGACUGCAACUGACACUGAGGCUCGAAAGUGUGGGUAUCAAACAGGAGUAGAUACCCCAGUAGUC